GAUGAAGAACGUAGCGAAAUGCGAUACGUAGUACGAAUUGCAGCUCUAGUGAAUCAUCGAAUCUUUGAACGCAUAUUGCGCCCCGCGGUAUUCCGCGGGGCACGUCCGACCGAGCGCCGCUGCUAACGCUCGGGAGGCUCCUGCCUGGAGCGCUCCCGGUGUUGGGGGAUGCCACUCGACCCACGAGCGGCACCCCCGAAAACCAGCGGCGGCCCCCCAGGGCUCCCAGACGAAGUCACAGCGCAGCGUCUAGGGUCGGCUCGCGGGAGGGCCCGCCUCGAAACCCCCCAACUCUACAUGGUUGGCCUCGGGUCGGACGAGGUUACCCGCUGAACUUAAGCAUAUCAAUAAGCGGAGGA
rnacentral:misc_RNA from 1 species